GUGGGGAAUCUUAGACAAUGGGCGCAAGCCUGAUCUAGCCAUGCCGCGUGAGCGAUGAAGGCCUUAGGGUUGUAAAGCUCUUUCGUGGGGGAAGAUAAUGACUGUACCCCAAGAAGAAGCCCCGGCUAACUCCGUGCCAGCAGCCGCGGUAAUACGGAGGGGGCUAGCGUUGUUCGGAAUUACUGGGCGUAAAGCGCACGUAGGCGGACUGGAAAGUCAGGGGUGAAAUCCCGGGGCUCAACCCCGGAACUGCCUUUGAAACUCCCAGUCUUGAGUUCGAGAGAGGUGAGUGGAAUUCCGAGUGUAGAGGUGAAAUUCGUAGAUAUUCGGGGGAACACCAGUGGCGAAGGCGGCUCACUGGCUCGAUACUGACGCUGAGGUGCGAAAGCGUGGGGAGCAAACAGGAUUAGAAACCCUUGUAGUCC
rnacentral:rRNA from 1 species